UACGUAGGGUGCGAGCGUUGUCCGGAAUUAUUGGGCGUAAAGGGCUCGUAGGCGGUCUGUUGCGUCAGGAGUGAAAACUCGGGGCUUAACCCCGAGCCUGCUUCUGAUACGGGCAGACUAGAGGUAUGCAGGGGAGAACGGAAUUCCUGGUGUAGCGGUGAAAUGCGCAGAUAUCAGGAGGAACACCGGUGGCGAAGGCGGGUCUCUGGGUCGAAACUGACGCUGAGGAGCGAAAGCGUGGGGAGCGAACAGG
rnacentral:rRNA from 1 species